AAGAACACAGACCAAAAUCAGGCAUCGCGAUGAGGUAACUGCGCCAUCAAAAUCGGAGACCUCCCCCUCCCACUCCCCCAUAUCAACACAGUCCCCUUCCUCGUCUCGUAGGAUCCCUACCUUGAGGAGAUCGAUCAUGGCCUUCCCUCCCUCCUGAACCUCGUAGCUCACCCCGCUGAUUCAUUGAGGUCAAGGGCACAAGAGGCAUGUCUUGUUCACCAACUAGGACGGAAAGCAGAUCAGUCCCCACCCCUGAUUCAUAGACACACAAGUGCACACCAAGUGUUUGAUAGCUGUCCUCUGUUAAUGGUUUAGAAUUUUGGGGGCCUUCAGAUAAAGGGGGUUGUUUCUGAUUCUUCUUCUAUAAGGUUUACUGAACAUAAGAGGUGGCUUAAAUCUAGUAACUGUUAAGGUUUCAAGUGUGGACGCAUCCAAUAUUUCAAUGUAGUUCUGCACCAUUACUAGACAUUGGUGACUUCAAUCUCUUCAUAGACUUUCUUUAUGGUACUCCAAUUCGGACUAUCCUAUUCUAGUUGGGUAGUACAGUUGGUAUAUUCUGGCUGGGGUGUCAUUUGUAGAAAAUGAACGAUGGAGUGACUAGAAGAAGUGUUAUCUUGGUUGUACCUAUGGACAAAUUGCACAGAUAUGUAAUGGACAAGAAUUUCAGUGCACGACAAAGGGAAAUAUAUUCUGCUACACAUAAGGCAGGAACUAAAGUAUUCUUGAAGAGCCCGAAAAAUCAUAACAAGGGUGUAGCUCUAGAUACAAUGAUUCAAAAGAUAAAUGGAUGAGUAUGUGGGAGCAUGGCGAUUAUACUGCAACGAUGUUGUCAAUGAUCCGUUUCAUGAUGAUUAUGAUGACAUAUGCAUUUAGUUUUAGUUAUGUUGUAGGGAUGACAUUCCUAUCGGAUGUUGUUCCUCAGUUAAGAUCGAUAUUUUUAGUUUAAGUUUUGUUGUCAAGAAAAUUGUUAGAUUAUGCAUCACAUUUGGAUGAUGUUCCUCCUAUAAUAUCCACUAUUGUAAUCCAACAGUUUUGAUCUGAUAUAUUAUGAUUUAUUCCU